rnacentral:tRNA from 1 species
AGUUUUAUAGUAUAAAAAAUUACAUUACCUUUUCAUGAUAAAAAUAGGGCUCCCUUAAAACUC